rfam:Gossypium hirsutum cultivar TM-1 chromosome 8, whole genome shotgun sequence
AUCCCAUGAUGAGGACACUUACGAAGCAACUCCUUGAAUCGCUCCCAAGCUUCAUACAAUAACUCGUCAUCCAAUUGUUGGAGAGUUGUGAUCUCGUUCCUCAACUU